UGAGCUGGCCAGGCGGCCGCGUCGAGGGGUGACUCUCGCCGAGGAACGUCCGGGCUCCACAGGACAAGGUGGUGGCUAACGACCACCCGGGGCGACCCGCGGGACAGUGCCACAGAAAACAGACCGCCAGACGUCUCCGACGGCUGGUAAGGGUGAAACGGUGGUGUAAGAGACCACCAGCGCCCCAGGUGACUGGGGCGGCUAGGUAAACCCCACCUGGAGCAAGGUCAGACAGCAUGCGUUCGAGGGCGGUCCGCUCGAGCAUGCGGGUAGACCGCUGGAGGCGGCUGGCAACAGUCGUCGUAGAUGGAUGGUCGCCACGGCGUCGCCGGCAACAGCGGCGCCGGACAGAACCCGGCGUAUCGGCCAGCUCAUCCA
rnacentral:RNase_P_RNA from 1 species